rnacentral:rRNA from 1 species
GUAGGUGGCAAGCGUUGUCCGGAAUUAUUGGGCGUAAAGCGCGCGCAGGUGGUUCUUUAAGUCUGAUGUGAAAGCCCCCGGCUCAACCGGGGAGGGUCAUUGGACACUGGGGAACUUGAGUGCAGGAGAGGAAAGUGGAAUUCCACGUGUAGCGGUGAAAUGCGUAGAUAUGUGGAGGAACACCAGUGGCGAAGGCGACUUUCUGGCCUGUAACUGACACUGAGGCGCGAAAGCGUGGGGAGCAAACAGGGAUUAGAUACCCUGGUAGUCCACGCCGUAAACGAUGAGUGCUAAGUGUUGGGGGGGUUUCCCGCCCCUCAGUGCUGCAGCUAACGCAUUAAGCACUCCGCCUGGGGAUACGGUCGCAAGACUG